rnacentral:rRNA from 1 species
AGAGUGAACGCUGGCGGUAGGCCUAACACAUGCAAGUCGAACGGCAGCACGGUAAGAGCUUGCUCUUAUGGGUGGCGAGUGGCGGACGGGUGAGGAAUACAUCGGAAUCUACCUUUUGGUGGGGGAUAACGUAGGGAAACUUACGCUAAUACCGCAUACACCCUUCGGGGGAAAGCCGGGGACCAGCAAUGGCCUGGCGCUGAUAGAUGAGCCGAUGUCGGAUUAGCUAGUUGGUGAGGUAAUGGCUCACCAAGGCGACGAUCCGUAGCUGGUCUGAGAGGAUGAUCAGCCACACUGGAACUGAGACACGGUCCAGACCUCCGUACGGGAGGCAGCAGGUGGGGAAUAGUUGGACAAGUGGGCGCAAGCCUGAUCCAGCC